UAUUGUAUUCUGUGUAGUUGCUAAUUUUAAUAAUUUAGGAUGCAAUUAAGUCUUCAAAUGAUUUUCCUGUUUCUGGCCUUGGUAAGUUUGUUAUAAUUUUGUUCAUACUUGUUCACAACGUAUUACUGACCAUGACUUUUAAUUUUUUUUUUUUACAUUUUUCACAUGGUACGAUAUGAAACCUUAAACGGUAUAUAACUCAUUUAUUAACUUUUUAGCAUCAAAAAUUUCAUACAAAAUACUGAAUAGUGCGUUGAAUGCAUCAAUUAAGAAUAUGAUGAAUGUUCGAAUAUUACUUUAAUUGAACAUUACGUAAUUCUAUUAUGAUAGAAAAGCAUCAACAUCAUGGCAGAAAACCUCAUCAAUAUAAGUCAUAUAUAUAUACAUACUGGAAGGGCAAUAAAUACAUCACAAUUAUAAUAGUAAAUCGUCUUCGUCUAAAAUUUAUCUUUUUACAGUUACUUUCAUAGUGUCUUACACACAGUUCCAAGGUUGGGCUGUAUUUUUCCAUUUUACGUAUGUAAGCUUCGCCAAUACUUUGUGUUUUCUACAUAAUUCAACUUGUCUUUUGUUUAUCACGAGAAAAAAAAUCAUUGGGUAGUCCCCAAUAUUUGUUAAAUAUGCCUGCAGCAUGCUUCAAGUCUGAGAUAACUCCGGAACUAUCCGAUUUUUUUUUUCAUUCGAAACAUGAAUACACAGCUUUAAGUCCAUUGUGGAAAUCUUAACAAAAUGUGCAUUUGACUACCAAAAACUAAGAAAAUAAGUUAUAAACAAGCACGCUCCAUUUACUUAAGGAGCUAAACAAGUAGCACCUUUUUUUUUAUAAAAAGAAAUCCUAAAUAAAUGACAAAAAAGAAUAAAGCAAGUUCAUAAGAAAAUAACCAUAGUUAUCGGUCUAUUAGGAUACAUGUAUGCUUUAUAAGUACCUUCUCCACACUGCAAAACAGUUCGUACGACUGUAUGGACUGGGAAUCAUAUAUACAAACCUUUUAUUUCGACUAAUAUGUAUCGUUCGAGUAUAUUCUUAGAACACCUUAUUUUCAAAGUGUACUUAUCACGCAAAACCCUCUGAAUAAGAGUAUCAGAAAAAAGUCUGACUUCUACAUUUAAGGCAAUAAAACUCACCAUCCAAAAUUGGUUUCCAGAUUUGAUGCUGGUGUCUCAGUUAACUAAUGCAAUGUUUUAAAUUGUUAGAUAGGCGAUUAUAAUGUAAUAUGUCGCCGUGUUGAUAGUGAUACUUAACUGAUUCAAGAUUGGCUCUAAGUAUUGUGAAUGCAUCGCUGGAGUCAUUUACCUUUUCGUUUGAUCUUCUUAAUUGGUUAAUGAACAUUAAUAAACGGCUGUUUUACAUUUUCAAGUUGUAAAUUAAUAUGUCUAUGAAGGUUUUAGUAUUAUAAAUCAGAAACAAAAACAAAAAACUACCAAAUGAACAGAAUGGCUACAAAAUAGAACCAUUUCGUUUAACAUAAUCAUUAUCAUCAUUGCAGAAUAUUGGUGUAGUAUCGAGUGAUAAUAUUUGCGACCUUCCGGACGUUGUUGGUCCAUGUAAAGCAUCGAUAAAAAGAUUUUAUUAUCAAAGAAUAACUGGGCAGUGUAAAAGGUUCUUAUAUAGUGGUUGUGAGGGCAAUAAUAACAAUUUCAAAACGAGACGAGAUUGUGUAACAGCAUGCAGAAAACGAGGUACUGGUAUUUCGUAUGCUUGAUAAGGUCACUCAAAUAAUCAUUGUUAAUGUUUCUAUAUAUUCGCUAAGCGUCUUAUUGGAUAUUCAGAGUUGUAGAGUUUAUCAGUUAACAUGUGUUAUUUAGUUUAUAGUUGUUUGGCAUCUUCAUUUAACAUUCAUUAUCCUUAUAUUGUUUUGAUAAUUAUCAAACAAAAUUGGGAUUUCUAAAUUAAGGUGAUACAACCGAAUCUUAAAUUUAUCAAGUACACAGUUUUAGAGCUUUUUUAAAACAAUCAUAUAUUCCAAUUUAAAUUCGAUGAGCUUUUAAUACCGGCACAUAUCUAUAACUAUAUAUUGUAUUUGCAUAUGCUUUUCUAAGAUAAAUGACAAAGCAGUUGAGAAGUAAAUAAAACGAAGACUUCAGCCGCUUUUACCAUAAUUCAUGCAUAUGGGAAAGUAAACUCUAUAUACGGCAAAUGAUUACAAUCAUGUACUCCAAAUAGGCCUAACGACAAAAAAAAAAGACCCGUUACCGACGUUCUAAAACGUUGUUGUAAACACAAUAAGAAAUUGAACAGCAUCUUAAGCAUUCAGAGUCAUAAAGAUUUGCUUAAAAACAUCUAAUGUAAUUCAUUCCUUGCGUAGAAAAUCAUUAUAAUUUCGAAAACAAAACAGUUUGUUUCAACACCUCAAGUGAAUUUAUAGUUCUGAUCUGUUCAAUUAUAAAUCAUGUCAAUGUAAAAUGCAAACUAUACGGAGGUAUGCUAUCCACCAGGAGAAUAUUUCAUCCAACUUUUGCAAUGAGCAAUUGCUCAUAAAGGUAAAUAAGUUGUAUACCAUCUUAUGCAUGUCAUACGUGUAACAUUUAAUUUGUAUACUGUUGUUUACAUAGCAAUUUCGAUGGGCAAUGUUUUAUCUUUUUUUUACAUGUGUUCCACUUACACAUAAGUAAGUAAGUAACACAGUUUAAUAAAAUUUUCAAUACGUUUUGCGUGUCUUUGGUUAAAUGCUAUGUUUUUGAUUAGGAUAAUAUUACAUGUCGAUGAUAAAAUGAUUUGAAUGCGUUUAACUCGUGAGCAUAGCUCGUCAUUGACAGUGAUAUUGUGACAGUAGCGAUUUGUAACUUAAAUUAAUCAAAAUAUUUUUAAGUGUGUACAUUUCCAAA
rnacentral:lncRNA from 1 species